rnacentral:rRNA from 1 species
UGCCAGCCGCCGCGGUAAUACGAAGGGGGCUAGCGUUGUUCGGAAUCACUGGGCGUAAAGCGCACGUAGGCUGACUGGUCAGUUGGGGGUGAAAUCCCGGGGCUCAACCUCGGAACUGCCUUCAAUACUGCCAGUCUUGAGUCCGAGAGAGGUGAGUGGAAUUCCUAGUGUAGAGGUGAAAUUCGUAGAUAUUAGGAAGAACACCAGUGGCGAAGGCGGCUCACUGGCCAAAGACUGACGCUCAUGUGCGAAAGUGUGGGUAGCGAACAGGAUUAGAUA